AACGCAUUGGAUUAAGGUGG
rnacentral:miRNA from 1 species